GCCGAAUUAGUAUAAAUAGUACGGGUGGCUUACAUUCACUAAGAAGCCUUUGGCUAUUCGGUU
rnacentral:tRNA from 3 species